CCGGCGCACGGGUGAGUAACACGUAUCCAACCUGCCGUCUACUCUUGGACAGCCUUCUGAAAGGAAGAUUAAUACAAGAUGGCAUCAUGAGUCCGCAUGUUCACAUGAUUAAAGGUAUUCCGGUAGACGAUGGGGAUGCGUUCCAUUAGAUAGUAGGCGGGGUAACGGCCCACCUAGUCUUCGAUGGAUAGGGGUUCUGAGAGGAAGGUCCCCCACAUUGGAACUGAGACACGGUCCAAAUCCUACGGGAGGCAGCAUG
rnacentral:rRNA from 1 species